rnacentral:rRNA from 1 species
GAUGAACGCUGGCGGCGUGCCUAACACAUGCCAGUCGAGCGAACAGACGCGGCUCUUGCUGCUCUGACGUUUGCCGCACACGUGUGUAACACGCGUGUAUCAUCCACCUGUCAUUCUGAUAUCACCUGGAGAAACCGGCGAUAAUACCAGAUAAUAUAUUGCUCCGCAGGGUUCGAUAGUGAAAGACGGUUUUGCUGUCACAUAUCGAUGCUUCCGGGCCGCUUUAGCUAGUUGGUAAGUUCAAGGCUUACCAAGGCAACGAGGCGUAGCCGACCUGAUAGCGUGAUCGGCCGCCCUGGAACUUAGACACGGACCAGAGGCCUACGGGACGCAGCAGUAGGGAAGCGGCGGCAAUGGGCGAAAGCCUGACGGAGUGACGCCGCGUGAGUGAUGAAGGUCUUCGGAUCGUAAAGCUCUGUUACUAGUGAAGAACAAAUGUGGAAGUAACUAUGCACGUCGUGACGGUACCGAGUCAGGAAGCCACGGCUAACUACGUG